rnacentral:rRNA from 1 species
CUAGAUUGAUGGCGAGUGGCGAACGGGUGAGUAAUACAUCGGAACGUGCCCUGUAGUGGGGGAUAACUAGUCGAAAGAUUAGCUAAUACCGCAUACGACCUGAGGGUGAAAGUGGGGGACCGCAAGGCCUCAUGCUAUAGGAGCGGCCGAUGUCUGAUUAGCUAGUUGGUGAGGUAAAGGCUCACCAAGGCGACGAUCAGUAGCUGGUCUGAGAGGACGAUCAGCCACACUGGGACUGAGACACGGCCCAGACUCCUACGGGAGGCAGCAGUGGGGAAUUUUGGACAAUGGGCGAAAGCCUGAUCCAGCAAUGCCGCGUGUGUGAAGAAGGCCUUCGGGUUGUAAAGCACUUUUGUCCGGAAAGAAAUCGCACUUACUAAUACUAGGUGUGGAUGACGGUACCGGAAGAAUAAGGACCGGCUAACUACGUGCCAGCAGCCGCGGUAAUACGUAGGGUCCAAGCGUUAAUCGGAAUUACUGGGCGUAAAGCGUGCGCAGGCGGUUGUGCAAGACCGAUGUGAAAUCCCCGAGCUUAACUUGGGAAUUGCAUUGGUGACUGCACGGCUAGAGUGUGUCAGAGGGGGGUAGAAUUCCACGUGUAGCAGUGAAAUGCGUAGAGAUGUGGAGGAAUACCGAUGGCGAAGGCAGCCCCCUGGGAUAACACUGACGCUCAUGCACGAAAGCGUGGGGAGCAACAGGAUUAGAUACCCUGGUAGUCCACGCCCUAAACGAUGUCAACUAGUUGUUGGGGAUUCAUUUCCUUAGUAACGUAGCUAACGCGUGAAGUUGACCGCCUGGGGAGUACGGUCGCAAGAUUAAAACUCAAAAGGAAUUGACGGGGGACCCCGCACAAGCGGUGGAUGAUGUGGAUUUAAUUCGAUGCAACGCCGAAAAACCUUACCUUACCCUUG